CAAGUCGAGCGAGAAAGUGGCUUCGGCCAUGAGUACAGCGGCGGACGGGUGAGUAACACGUGGAUAACCUGCCUGGAAGUGGGGGAUAACUCGGGGAAACCUGAGCUAAUACCGCAUACGCCUUCCGGAUCGCGAUCCGGAUUGGAAAGGUUGCCUCUUCUUCGAAAGCUAUCGCUUCCAGAGGGGUCCGCGUCUGAUUAGCUAGUUGGUGAGGUAAUGGCUCACCAAGGCAACGAUCAGUAGCCGGCCUGAGAGGGUGAUCGGCCACACUGGAACUGAGACACGGUCCAGACUCCUACGGGAGGCAGCAGUGGGGAAUAUUGCGCAAUGGGGGAAACCCUGACGCAGCAACGCCGCGUGGAGGAUGAAGGCCUUCGGGUCGUAAACUCCUGUCAGGUGGGAAGAAUAGGUUGCAGCAAACAACUGCAACUGUUGACGGUACCACCAGAGGAAGCCCCGGCUAACUCCGUGCCAGCAGCCGCGGUAAUACGGAGGGGGCAAGCGUUAUUCGGAAUCAUUGGGCGUAAAGGGCGCGUAGGCGGCCUGGCAAGUCAAAGGUGAAAUCCCUCGGCCCAACCGAGGAACCGCCUUUGAAACUGCAAGGCUUGAGGCCGGGAGAGGGUAGCGGAAUUCCCAGUGUAGCGGUGAAAUGCGUAGAUAUUGGGAGGAACACCAGUGGCGAAGGCGGCUACCUGGACCGGUUCUGACGCUGAGGCGCGAAAGCGUGGGGAGCAAACAGGAUUAGAUACCCUGGUAGUCCACGCUGUAAACGAUGGGUACUCGGUGUCGCGGGUAUCGACCCCUGCGGUGCCUUA
rnacentral:rRNA from 1 species